rnacentral:tRNA from 1 species
GGGAGUGUAUGUGAGUGCUCGUGAGAGCAACGCCAACGCGCAUAGAGCGUGAAUGUCGGCCUGUAACAGUCGAAUAGCGGUCGAUACUGGCGAGCACUCAUGUUGUGUUGAGAUUCGCCCUGCCGGCCUGCAAAGCCGUUCACACGGGUUCGAGUCCCGUCACUCGCU